GGUGAUGUAGCUUAGAUGGUAGAGCGCUCGCUUAGCAUGCGAGAGGAGGUAUGGGGAUCGAUACCCCACUUAUCCA
rnacentral:tRNA from 1 species